CCUGACGUUGCCUAUUCAGGGCGGACCUGCAUGAGGUCGCUUCUCCUCCUCAGCUUCUCCCAGGGCCUGAGGGUGGGGUACAAGGUGGUGGAAGCUGAGCCUCAGUCUGUGAAUCAGCCCAUCAAAGGUCAGUUCCAUGCCUGAAGGCUGGUUUCCAUUUAUCCACACACAUGUCAGCACCAACUUGGAUCCACUGAGAACCCUGUUGACAGUUUUGGGUCGUUCCUCCACAUCUGAGGCCAAUUUCUCAGCGUUUGCGCGUUACCUGUCAAGCCCAGGAUUCAAGAAGUGGACCACAGAGAGUGUUCCUCCCAAAGGCAAGGUCUCUGUACUGAUGCAUCCACACUACUUUCCCUGCUCUGGGAAGACAGAGCAGGAACCUGGAUGCUUCUAGAAAUACUGUUGGCUUUAUUCAACUUUUUACUAACAAACAUAGAAACCCUAACACCUGUCAGGCUUCUUACUCAGUGACAGAGGUUUGGAGAUUGGCCACAUGAAAUCUUAAGCUUAGAAAGUUCAUGGUCUUGGGAUGUGGUUAGGGUAUGGAUGAGGAGUGGUAGACAAUGAGCAAUGACAGUACGGGGGAUGGGGUGAGGAAGUCAGGGUGGCCUCCCAGAGUAGGUGACUGUGAGUGGAGAUGCUAGACUCCUGUUUCCUAUGCUUGCCUAUUCUUCUUGAAUUCUUGAGAAAUAGUUACACUAUGAUUGCAUUCUGGUAACUUUAUUAAACAUACCAUACUUACAUAUUUCCUAAACCAAGAAACCAAGCUUUCCUGGGAAUUCAUAGUGGGGGGAAAAAGCAACACUAAUACAUAGUGGCAUAAAUGUACAGAUGUUUUCUGCAGCAUGGUUUAUAACAACAAAAGCCUGGAAAAUGAGAGAAUUCCAAAUUACUUUUAGGAAGUAUUUUGAAACUACUUAAAAUAAAAAAUGAAGAAUGAAUAGAGCUCUCCA
rnacentral:lncRNA from 1 species